rnacentral:rRNA from 1 species
UACGGAGGGUGCAAGCGUUAUCCGGAUUUACUGGGUUUAAAGGGUGCGUAGGUGGGUAGGUAAGUCAGUGGUGAAAUCUUCGAGCUUAACUCGGAAACUGCCAUUGAUACUAUCUGUCUUGAAUACUUUGGAGGUAAGCGGAAUAUGUCAUGUAGCGGUGAAAUGCUUAGAUAUGACAUAGAACACCAAUUGCGAAGGCAGCUUACUACACAGUCAUUGACACUGAGGCACGAAAGCAUGGGGAGCAAACAGG